rnacentral:rRNA from 1 species
UGGGGAAUAUUGGACAAUGGGCGAAAGCCUGACCCAGCAACGCCGCGUGAAGGAUGAAGUAUUUCGGUAUGUAAACUUCGAAAGAAUAGGAAGAAUAAAUGACGGUACUAUUUAUAAGGUCCGGCUAACUACGUGCCAGCAGCCGCGGUAAUACGUAGGGACCAAGCGUUGUUCGGAUUUACUGGGCGUAAAGGGCGCGUAGGCGGCAAUUCAAGUCAUCUGUGAAAUCUCCGGGCUUAACUCGGAACGGUCAGGUGAUACUGCUUUGCUAGAGUGCAGAAGGGGCAAUCGGAAUUCUUGGUGUAGCGGUGAAAUGCGUAGAUAUCAAGAGGAACACCUGAGGUGAAGACGGGUUGCUGGGCUGACACUGACGCUGAGGCGCGAAAGCCAGGGGAGCAAACGGGAUUAGAUACCCGCGUAGUCCCUGAGCGGGCUGGCAAGGCGCAU